UACGUAGGGGGCAGGCGUUGUCCGGAUUUAUUGGGCGUAAAGAGCGUGUAGGCGGCCAUGCAGGUCCGUUGUGAAACUCGAGCUCAACCUCGAGACGCCGAUGGAAACCGCAUGGCUAGAGUCCGGAAGAGGAGAGUGGAAUUCCUGGUGAGCGGUGAAAUGCGCAGAUAUCAGGAAGAACACCCGUGGCUAAGGCGGCUCUCUAGUAGCGGUACUGACGCUGAGACGCGAAAGCGUGGGGAGCGAACAGGAU
rnacentral:rRNA from 1 species